AGGAGAGUUUGAUCCUGGCUCAGGAUGAACGCUAGCGACAGGCUUAACACAUGCAAGUCGAGGGGCAGCGUGGGAGGUGGCAACACCACCCGACGGCGACCGGCGCACUGGUGAGUAACACGUAUGCAACCUGCCCCCUACAGGGGAAUAACCCAGAGAAAUUUGGCCUAAUGCCCCGUAGUCCGCGGCGCGGCAUCGCGCUGCGGGGAAAGACGAGUCGGUAGGGGAUGGGCAUGCGGCGCAUUAGCUGGUUGGCGGGGCAACGGCCCACCAAGGCUACGAUGCGUAGGGGUUCUGAGAGGAAGGUCCCCCACACUGGUACUGAGACACGGACCAGACUCCUACGGGAGGCAGCAGUGAGGAAUAUUGGUCAAUGGGCGGGAGCCUGAACCAGCCAAGUCGCGUGCGGGAAGACGGCCCUACGGGUUGUAAACCGCUUUAGCCGGGGAGUAACGUGCGGCACGUGUGCCGCAGUGAGAGUACCCGGAGAAUAAGCAUCGGCUAACUCCGUGCCAGCAGCCGCGGUAAUACGGAGGAUGCGAGCGUUAUCCGGAUUCAUUGGGUUUAAAGGGUGCGCAGGCGGCGCUCCAAGUCAGCGGUCAAAUCCAUGGGCUCAACCCGUGGCCGCCGUUGAUACUGGAGUGCUUGAGUAGGUGCGACGGAGGCGGAAUGCGUGGUGUAGCGGUGAAAUGCAUAGAUAUCACGCAGAACCCCGAUUGCGAAGGCAGCCUCCGAGCCCCCGACUGACGCUGAGGCACGAAAGCGUGGGUAUCGAACAGGAUUAGAUACCCUGGUAGUCCCCU
rnacentral:rRNA from 1 species